CACCGGUGUCGUGGAGUUCCGGGUCGCCGGCGGUCCCGCCGCCGGCGCCGUGCACCGGCUCGGUGUCGGCCGGUACGACAUCGGCACCGGAGCC
rnacentral:tRNA from 1 species